UUUGAGGCCCAAAGUGUUAAAGAAUGGAAAGAAGUUCAGCUGGCAGCCUUAGAAGUCAUGUGAAACUGGAGUCCAAGACACCAAGAAGUUCCGAAACAGGCGAUCUGCCUGGGGGAGGGAAAAAACAAGGGAAGGGCGACAGAGAUUUCUCGUGGAUGGCGCUUUCGUCCAUACACACAACUACUGGGAGUUGUUGCUCAAUGGUGCCUGUGUGCUUUCUAACACAUCAAUAAAUAGUCACAGACCACAAGAAGAAGAGCUACUUCGUUAAGUAGAACAAGCCUCCACCCGAGACAUGCAGCAGGGACCAGUCGGCAUUCAUUUGAAAUGAUGCUCAUCUCCUGCAUCUUGGAACGGACAGGGAAGCGGGUCUCAGAGGCAACGUCCCGGCACCCGUUUGUCGGGCUGUAUUUACUUGUGACAGACUUGAAUCUUCAGGAUGGAAUUCCAUCUAUCAAGUGACAUUCCCGGUCAUGGUGAUGCUUGUC